UACGUAGGGAGCAAGCGUUGUCCGGAAUCAUUGGGCGUAAAGCGUGCGCAGGCGGUUUCUUAAGUCAGAUGUGAAAGCCCCGGGCUUAACCUGGGAACUGCGUUUGAAACUGGGAGACUUGAGUGUGGCAGAGGGGGGUGGAAUUCCACGUGUAGCAGUGAAAUGCGUAGAUAUGUGGAGGAACACCGAUGGCGAAGGCAGCCCCCUGGGUUAACACUGACGCUCAUGCACGAAAGCGUGGGGAGCAAACAGG
rnacentral:rRNA from 1 species